UCUGCUGUCAUCUUCUUCAGCGUCGCGAACUGGAGGCGGAGAGCUGCCGUUCGGUGUUCGUUCAGGCUGCUCUUCUUCAACCUUCUGCCUUUGGCGUCGUCUCUCCUCCUCACGGAUCCCGGUCGAGAUCUCGUCCACCGCCAGGUCGCACCCUGCUGCAGCCUUGUGGUCACGAGGCGAGGUCGCCGUCUUCGCGUCAACUGGAAUCACAUCUGGCAUCGACAAGCUUACUAUUUCCUCCGGCCCGAUCUCGCAUCGAGAAGCAAUUUCCUCCGGUUGGAUGUGGCAUCGACAAGCUUACUGUUUCCUCCGGUUUGAUCUGGCAUCGAUCUGGAAUCACAUCACAUGUUUGGUCUUCCCUGAUCCAGAUCUCUUCACUGCAUCGAUCUGGCCUCCCUCCGAGCACCUCCCGACUGCAAGGUAAGAUCUUCCCGAGCUUUCCCUUCAAUAGUUGCUUGGUUAUAGUGGUGUCUCAAACUUUCUGCUUGAGCAUAGUAUUUCUUUGCUUGCACCUUUGACUGCUUGUGAAGUUUUUUUUGGGUGAGAAACUGCUUGUGAAGUUGUGGAGCUUACUGUAUUUCCUUCUAUCAUGGAAAAUCGGACGCCCUUUAAUUGUUAGUAUAAUCUUUUAAACUGGAGUUAAUAUACGUAAAAUCAAUUCUUGGUCCUGAACUUAUUUCAGUCUGAGCUUACCUGGCGAUAUAUCUAAAGAACGAUUGUGAAAACGCUGAAUCCGCUGGAACUUGCUAAAAGUAUCACUAAUUGGCAUAUAGUACUCCUCUUUUAUUCUAUUUAAAAGAGAAUCAACUGGCUAUGAAAUUCUUUUCUUCAUCUCUUUUUCUGUGAUACUUUUAGUAGGUCAUUUCCUCUUUUAAAUAUAAAUUUGCUACCAUUUUAAUCUUCCUAGAUAGCACAAUAUUGGUAAUUCAUUAGUAUCUUUUUUAGUUUAGUUAUGUCUAAAUAAAUUGAUUUGCCAAUUAAUAAUUAUAAUUUUAUUUUUGUAAAUACCUUAUGAUUAUUGAUCACAUUCGGGGAGAAGAAAAUGUGAAGAUUUAUUAAGUGUUGUUUGUAAAAAAAAACAAAUCUUUGUAGUCGAAUAAUCAUAACAUAACAUACAAGAUUACUAUCUUUGAAGCAUCUCACUUUUUCUGUGAUAACAUAAUUCAUAAGAAACCUCUUUCAAAUAAGACUCCCAGAUAAUUUUCUACAGAAAAUAUAUCAUAGCGAGAGCAUAUGUUCACGUGAAUUGGAGAAAAUAUUGAGAGCUAUUUUCAAGAACUGUGGCGGUGUACCAUAGCCAUUAUUGCUACAACUACUAUUUUGGUUAGUAAUAUACCAAAUGGAGCAAAAAAUUAUUGAUUCUGUUUGCUCAAUUUUAUGUGUCAUGAGGUAACAAAAGAUGCUAUAUUUGAAGGAAAUGAAAGGGAUAUUGUUGCUCAAUUGUUAUGAUCUGCUUCUCAUCUGAAGACUAGUUUAUUACAUAUAAGCAUAUUUUUGAAAGUUUGAGAGAGAGAUCACAAGCAGAUCCCGUGCAGAAGGGAACAUCAUUGCUACAACUACAAUAAUUCUUCCACUUCAAGAGCCAUUGGACCGCUAAACAAGUCUUUAGAUGAGAAGGUAGAUCAUAAUAGCUGAGCGAAAUGAAAGUGAUAUUGUUGCUCAAUUGUUAUGAUCUGCUUCUCAUCUGAAGACUAGUUUAUUACAUAUAAGCUAUUCUUGGAAGUUUGAGAGAGAGAUCACAAGCAGAUCCCGUGCAGAAGAGAACAUCAUUGAUACAACUAUAGUAAUUCUUCCACUUCAAGAGCCAUUGGGCCGCUGAGAAAUAUGUUUAGAUAUGAUAAACAAGUCUUCAGAUGAGAAGGCAGAUCAUAAUAGCUGAGCAGUAAUAUCAUUUUCAUUUUGUUUUCUUCCAAACUAGCAUCUUUUGUAACCCCACAGCCCAUAGCAUUGAGCAAACACAACCAAUCAUUAUUUGCUCUAUUUGGUUAUUACUAACCAAAAUACUAGCCAUAGUAAUGAUGGCUAAUGGUACACCUCCACAUUUCUUCAAAAUAGUUCUUGCUACUUACUCCAUUUUUCAUGCGGACACCUAUUCUUGCAUUCUUAUAUAGAGAAUUAUUAGAGAGUCUUAUUUAAAAUAUGUUCAGUUCUAUUAAAUAUGUCAUCAUAGGAAGAGUGACAUUAUUCGUAGACACUGAUUUGCAUGUUGUUCUGAUUAUCUGACUAUAGAGAUUGGUUUUUGUCACACCAUACUCAUUAACCAACUUGGUGAGUUUCUAAUGGACAAAAGGUACGUGCACAUAGGUCGUCUUUUAUUCUAUUUAAAAGAGAAUCAAAUGGCUACGAAUUCUUUUCUUCAUCUCUAAGUCUGUGAUACUUUUAUUAUGUCAUUUCCUCUUUUUAAUCCAAUUUAGCUGCUUUUUUACUCUUCCUAGCUAGCACAAUAUUGAUAAUUCAUUAUGUUCAUUGUGAUUUCUAAAUUCCUAUAGUUCGUUUUAGUUUUCGUGUCUAAAUAAAUUGAUGUGCCAAUUAAUAUUUCUAUUUUUUUGUAAAUACCUUACGAUUAUUUAUCACAUCUGGGUAGAGAAAAGGUGAAGAUUAAGUGUUGUUUGUAUACGUUUUAGUUGUAGUUGGAUAUCAUCAUAACAAGAUGCAAAAUUAGUAUCUUUGAAGCAUAUCACUUUUUCUGUGAUACAUAGUUCAUGAGAAACCUCUUUCAAAUAAGACUCUCAAUUAAUUUUCUAUAGAAAAUAUAUCACGACUAGAAUAUAUGUUCACGUGAAUUGGAGAAAAUAUCGAGAGCUAUUUCGAAGAAAUGUGGCAGCGUACCAUAGCCAUUAUUACUAUAACUACUAUUUUGCUUAGUAAUAAUACCAAAUGGAGCAAGAAAAUUAUUGGUUCUGUUUGCUCAAUUUUAUGCCUCAUGAGGUUACAAAAGAUGCCUCAUGAGGUUACAAAAGAUGCUAUUUUGAAGAAAAUAAAAGGGAUAUCAUUGCUCCAAUUGUUAUGAUUUGCUUCUCAUCUGAAGACUAGUUUAUUACAUCUAAGCAUAUUUCUGGAAGUUUGAGAGAGAUCAUAAACAAGCGAUUGCCACAUGUCGACAGGGCUGCUCGAGCGGCAGAGCAGUCCAGCAGCCGCAGCGGACGACUGAACGUGUCGCACCCCACCGCACCAUACAACUAUAAUAAUUCUUCCACUUCAUGAGCCAUUGGACUACUGGGAAAUAUGUUUAGAUAAUAAGCAAGCCUUUAGAUGAGAAGGCAGAUCAUAAUAGCUGAGCAAUAGUAUCUUUUUUUUUCCUUUCAAACUAGCACCUUUUGUAACCCCACAACCCAUAGCAUUGAGCAAGCACAACCAAUCAUUGUUUGCUCUAUUUGAUUAUUACUAACCCAAAUACUAGCUAUAGUAAUGAUGGCUAAUGGUGCAUCUCCAGAUUUCUUCAAAAUAGCUCUCGCUACUUACUCCAUUUUUCAUGCGGACAUAUGUUCUCGCUCUAAAAUAUUCUUAUAUAGAGAAUUACUGGAGAGUCUUAUUUUAAAUAUGUUCAGUUCUAUUAAUUAUGUCAUCAUAGGAAGAGUGACAUUAUUACUAGACACUAAUUUGCGUGUUAUUACGAUUAUCCGACUACAGAGAUUGGUUUUUGACACACCAUACUUAAUAAAUCUUCACAUGUUUUGCAUGACGCGUGUUGUUUUUCUUCUCCGAUGAGGCCUGCCCUUCGCUCACAUCUCAAAAGUCCAGAGGAACACGAAGAUCAGCGCACCAGCAGUCAGCAGCUCAAGUUCACCGACCCAGGAAAGAUAUAUAGGAAUUAGUAGUAUAUCAUAGGGGCACCAGUGCAAAUCAAAAUAGUGUUUCUGGCUUUUGCUAUCAUGAUAUUGUGAUCAAAACAGGCUGUGUACUCCCCAUUCCGAUAUGGUUGAAUCGCUGAAGGGGGCAACUUUGUUUGUAGGUGUCAAUGUUGAUGUGUCCCUUUGCUGAGGGCCUGAGCAUGUCAUCUGUUGUCUUGGGGACAUGAGCCUCAUGGUAUUUCAGGAUACUUCCAUGACGCCAAAUAUCUCCGGAAGUCAAUUCACAUGGCUUUGCUUCCUCCUCUCUUUUUACAUGUUGCUGCUGAACAUGUGCUCUUCAGUCUGUACCUAAAAGUGUCAAUGAUUUUGUUCACGUUGUGCUUACAGAUUUUGUUUUAGGGGAUUGUGCUUACAUAUUUUGGUUCAAUCUCUUUCCAUUUUGCCAUGACCAAUUGCACGUGCUUACAAGGAAAGGGAGCCUGUAAAAACAUUACUUUUUUUAAGGCUGUAAAAACAUUACUUGUACUAGUUUGUGGUAGCGUGUGGUUGAAAAAAGUUUUUUUUUUGCGGGUUGGUUGAAAAAAGUUCGAAAGGCGCUUAUGGAAACAAAGGCUGUCCUGGUAUAUGAUCCGCUUGCGUGGCAACGGUAGGCACUAGGCAGGUGCUCUGAGCUGGCCUUGUACAAUGGA
rnacentral:lncRNA from 1 species